GACGAACCGUGCGAACGUUGUUCGGAUUCACUGGGCUUAAAGGGCGCGUAGGCGGACUCGCCAGUCUGUGGUGAAAGCCCCCAGCUCAACUGGGGAAGUGCCGUGGAUACUGCGAGUCUGGAGGAGGGUAGGGGCGUCUGGAACGCUGGGUGGAGCGGUGAAAUGCGUUGAUAUCCAGCGGAACUCCGGUGGCGAAGGCGAGGCGCUGGACCCUUUCUGACGCUGAGGCGCGAAAGCCAGGGGAGCAAACGGG
rnacentral:rRNA from 1 species